rnacentral:lncRNA from 1 species
AUAAUUACACUAUUGGUACAUUUCUGAUGUUAUACUCGUGCUUUUAUGUUCCACGUUUUUAUCAAAAUUAUUUGAAUUUAACCAAAAACACGGUAACUAAGUUGUACUUUUGAGUAACGCAGUUGUUUCCCUACAAAAUUCCACUGUCCCUCUCAUAUAUUUACUCCAUAUAAACAUACAUUACUUAAAAACUCUUCAAGACGCUAUUAAAAUGUAAUAUUUGCGGUAAUAACACGUAAUUUAAUCUUUACUUUAACAAUAAUAAAUAUUAUUUUCCUUUAUCAGUUUUUAAUUAUUCCAAAAUAUUUAUUGUGUCCCCGCGGCAAACCGAAAAAUUACGAACACUAUGUCACCAUACGAAACUGAGUCUUAAAAUUAGAAUUUUGUAUGCAUUUGCGCCAAAAGUCGUAUAACAUAUAAUCAAAUAUUAUUGGGGCGCGGGGGGAGUGCGUGGCUUUGAAAUUCGCCGAGUCAGUCGCGAGGACGCCGGCGGGAUAGGUGCGUGUAUUAAUUGGGAGACCGCUGAGUGACCGCUGUGAUAGAGUGUCGAGUUUAUCGUCCACAAGUCCCUAGUCAACAACGUGUUGACCAUCGGUAGUGUUUCGAGCAGGGUAGCGUGCCUGAUACUCAGAAUAUCAUCUCGAUAUUCGCUGACUGUCAUCCAGGCAUACGCUCCGACCUCGGGACACCACGAUGACGAAGUGGAGACUAUGUAUGAGGAGAUUUCUAAAGCCAUGCAUAGCCAUAAAAGCCACUACACGAUUGUGAUAGGGGACUUUAAUGCACAGUUGGGGAAGCGUUGCGGUAACGAGCUGAGAGUGGGGCAAUUUGGAUUUGGGGUCCGGAACACCAGAGGCCGGAUGCUGGCGGACUUUAUGGAGAAGGAUAACCUCUAUAUGAUGAACUCCUUCUUCAGAAAGCCCGCACCCGCAAAUGGACCUGAAUAAGUCCCAGUGGAAAUUAUAAAAACGAGAUCGAUUUUAUCAUGUCGACAAAAAAGCACAUAUUCAAUGAUGUCUCUGUGAUCAAUGCCGUUAAGACGGGAAGUGAUCACCGCAUGGUAAGAGGCACAUUGAAUAUCAAUAUCAAGCUAGAAAGAUCGCGAGUGAUAAAAUCCACGCUCCGACCGGCGCCAGCCCAGAUCCAAAAACCCGAGCGCUUUCAGCUCGAGCUUCAAAACCGCUUCGAGUACCUUGAUAACUGCGCAGAAGUGGACGAUAUAAACGACCUGAUGGUGGAUGCUGUCCGUACGGUAGGUUCUAAACACUUUAGAACCCGCCGUACCAAAACGCAGAAACUCUCGCACACACACUCGAACUCAUGGAUAAGAGACACGAAAUGAGGCUGCAGGACUCAGCGGAUGUCUUACAUUAUAGACAACUUAAUAGACAGAUCUCGAAGUCUUUGACGAGCGACCUUCGCCAAUUUAAUACUACACGUAUUAAAGUGGCUAUAGAGCGGAACAAGGGCUCCAAGGUGUUCGCAAAAGAUCUGUCUAUUGGGCAAAGUCAACUAACGAGACUGAAAACUGAGGACGGCAGAGUCAUUUCGUCGACUCCCGAAAUCCUGAGGGAGAUUGAGAUUGGAGUACCUGACGCACCUUCGAUUUGCCGAUGAUAUAGUCCUAAUGGCUGAGACCCUGGAAGACCAGAACACCAUGCUCGAGCAUCUCAGUAACGCAUCCCAACGAGUGGGUCUUAGCACGAACAUUUGUGUCCAACGACCAUGUCGCACCCACUCCAGUUCAGGUUGGGAACGUUACACUCGAAGUUGUAGACCAGUACAUUUACCUAGGACAAAUAAUCCAGUUAGGUAAGUCCAACUUCGAGAAAGAGAUCUCUCGUCGGAUCCAACACGGAUGGGCAGCGUUCGGGAAGCUGCGAAUAUCUUCUCGUUCAAAAUACCUCAGUGUCUCAAGAGGAAAGUCUUUGACCAGUGCGUGUUGCCAGUGAUGACCUACGGCAGUGAGACGUGGCCGCUUACUAUGGAUCCCGUGAGGAGGCUCGGUGUCGCUCAGCGGGCAAUGGAGAGAGCUAUGCUCGGUAUUUCCCUGCUCGAUCAAAUCAGAAAUGAGGAGAUCCGCAGGAGAACUAAAGUCACCGACAUAGCUCGGCGAAUUGCAAAGCUGAAGUGGCAGUGGGCAGGACACAUAGCGAGGAGAACCGAUGGCCGCUGGGGCGGAAAGGUUCUAGAAUGGCGACCACGUGUCGGACGACGCUCAGUAUAGGCCCGCUACAAAGUAGACCAACGAUUUGGUGAAGGUCGCGGGAAGCCGCUGAAUGCGGGCAGCGCAGGACCGAUCGUCGUGGAGAUCCUUGGGGGAGGCCUAUGCCCAGCAGUGGGCGUCGUAAGGCUGAUGACGAUGAUGACAUACAUACAUACAUAAACUCAUGCCUAUUUCCCACCGGGGUAAGCAGAGACUAUAGAAUUCCAUUUGCUGAAAACGUAUUGAAUGAAUUUGAUGUCCCAUUAAAUAUAUUUGAAAAAUAAGACUGAAGAGAGACUCAGACAGAAACUAAUGUAUGUUUAAUACUGUUUUUAGAGAAGUUUUGAUUUUAUUUCAUUCUAAGAGAGUUUUGUUUAAUUUGUCAUGGUUUCAAUUUAAUUGUAUUCUGUUUUUAAUUGUUUUCAGUAAGUUAAACACCAUAGAUGCGGAAAGUUUACCAUUAUGUUACUUACUAAACUACUGCGUUACUUUUUUGUCCCCCAUUUUUAUGGAGACAUUUUCAGAAUUAUAGCUAAAACUACCUAAGUAUGUUUUAAAAUUUUUGACUUUUUUUGAUUAUUUUUAAUAUAUAAAUGGCCUCCAUAAAUAAAAUGCUUGAACUGCUAUUGUUUUCUAUUUUAUUAAAAAAGUUUAUCUCAUAAAAUCAAAAUUAGGUAACGAAGUGGUAAACCUAACCAUAAAAAGAUGUAUUAGACUGAAAUGUUUCGUUAUUUAAUAAUAUAAGUUCAAAAAUCUUUUAUCUUAAUUUAAAAAAAAAAGGUUUGAAUUUAAUGUGAACGUUCCCAAUAAUAAAACUACAUAAUGUAACAAAGUAA